UACGAAGGGGGCGAGCGUUAUUCGGAAUCACUGGGCGUAAAGCGUGCGUAGGCUGUUUCGCAAGUUGGAAGUGAAAGCCCGGGGCUCAACCCCGGAAUUGCUUUCAAAACUGCGAGACUCGAAUUCGGGAGAGGAUAGCGGAAUUUCCAGUGUAGUAGUGAAAUACGUAGAUAUUGGAAGGAACACCAGUGGCGUAAGCGGCUAUCUGGACCGACAUUGACGCUGAGGCACGAAAGCGUGGGGAUCAAACAGG
rnacentral:rRNA from 1 species